UCUUUUGUUUUUAUCCCUAGUCCAUGUAUGUACGUGCAAUAAUAAAGGUUUUUUGGCUCAGAACGGUGUGAUAGAUUUAUCCAUUCAAUAUAAUAAUAGCUAUUGUAAUCCUCUGAGUAUAGAAAUAACAAAAAACUUUCAGAAAAAUAAUAUAUUAAUUCGAAAGAACACCGUGACAAAUAAUGGAUGGCAUUCAGCAACUGAAGUAUCUAGAAGCAUGUUACAUCACAACAUAGAGUAUAGAAUUUCCUCAAAUUGUAGAAUUUAUAAUAUUAUUUGUACGCGUUCUCCUCUGACCUGAAUAAGGAACUUUUGAGAUAGGAGAAACUAAAAGAAGCAACGAAAUGUUUACGACAUAUCAAUACAGAUCACUAAAAACCAAGGAAUUCCCUAGAAUUUUUAGCACAGAAUCAAAUCAAUCGAUUUGUAUCGAGCGAACCGAGAAAUUCAAGCCGUUUAAUCUCGAACUACACGCUUCGCUGUAUAAUGGUUAGGAUAAACGGAUUCUUAUGCAAUUUCAUAUCUUUGGGUACUCGGUUAAAGAAAUGGAAUGAAAAUAGCGAUUUGUUUCGUCUAAAUAUCUCUAAUUACAAGCGUAAUUAGGAUGAAAAGCAAGCUUUACAGCCGGAAACCUUCGAUUCCCACGGUAAUCCGGCGCGCGCGUUAGCCGCGAUUUACCUAGCGCGUAAGGAUCGCUGAUCGGUCGUUGAGCAAUUUUCGGGGUGUUCCACGGUGGAAAGAACGACGGCUAUUCUACGGAGAGAGGGUCGGAAAGGUAGAGGGGUGAUCAUCGGAGUUACACCUUGAUGCAAAGGAAGAAAGAGAGACGGAGAAAGGCGCGAGGAGAGUAGUAGUCGCGAACUGUGCCGUGCGAGCCAACACGCUCCAGUCACCGAUCGGAUGUACGACAAGUCGGUCGUACAAGAGUAUCACAAGUCGAACUCACUUUGCACAAGUGUCUUUUGCCUUUUCGUUCCUAGUGUCUGACCGCGAUCUGGACCAGGUGUAACCGUAACAUAUAAGUGCGUGACGUUCGAUCAGUGAAGUGUGUUAGGAUCCCUUGCGGCGGAUCAUGUGAUGACAAGGAGGAACUGCGACGAGCUACGUCGACCUGAUCAUUGGGAUUCAACGGAGUGUGUUAACCGGAUCAGCGACCUCGGCGUCUAUUGACCUUUACUUGAUCGCACAAUACAAAGUGUCGCUUCGAAGCAAAGCCAAU